AUACAGGGCAAUAGUCUUGUAAUUGGAAUGAUGCCGAUUUAAAAUUCCGGCAGAGUACCAAUUGGAGGGCAAGUCUGGUGCCAGCAGCCGCGGUAAUUCCAGCUCCAAUAGCGUAUAUUAAACUUGUUGCAGUUAAAAAGCUCGUAGUUGAAUUUCAGCGAUUCUGUCAUUAUACCAUGUGGUGUAUUGUCGGUUUCGCCUUUUGUAUUACUUUGAGAAAAUUAGAGUGUUUCAAGCAGACUUUUGUCUUAAAUAGUGUAGCAUGGAAUAAUAGAGUAGGACGGAUAUCCUAUUUUGUUGGU
rnacentral:rRNA from 1 species